UCUUAUGGAUGAGCAAAGAAAGUGGUUUCUUGAGAUAGAACUUACUCCUAGUGGACACAUUGUGAA
rnacentral:pre_miRNA from 1 species